GACGAACGCUGGCGGCGUGCCUGAUACAUGCAAGUCGAGCGAAUCGAUGGGAGCUUGCUCCCUGAGAUUAGCGGCGGACGGGUGAGUAACACGUGGGUAACCUGCCUGUAAGACUGGGAUAACUUCGGGAAACCGGAGCUAAUACCGGAUACUUUCUUUUCUCGCAUGAGGGAAGAUGGAAAGAUGGUUCUGCUAUCACUUACAGAUGGACCCGCGGCGCAUUAGCUAGUUGGUGAGGUAGCGGCUCACCAAGGCAACGAUGCGUAGCCGACCUGAGAGGGUGCUCGGCCACACUGGGACGGAGACACGGCCCAGACUCCUACGGGAGUCAGCAGUAGGGAAUCUUCCGCAAUGGACGAAAGUCUGACGGAGCAACGCCGCGUGAGCGAAGAAGGCCUUCGGGUCGUAAAGCUCUGUUGUUAGGGAAGAACAAGUACGAGAGUAACUGCUCGUACCUUGACGGUACCUAACCAGAAAGCCACGGCUAACUACGUGCCAGCCGCCGCGGUAAAAC
rnacentral:rRNA from 1 species